GACGAACCGUGCAAACGUUAUUCGGAACCACUGGGCAUAAAGGGCGCGUAGGCGGCUUUCUAAGUCAGGGGUGAAAUCCGGCAGCUCAACUGUCGCAGUGCCUUUGAUACUGGAGAGCUCGAGGGAGGUAGGGGUCUGUGGAACUUCCGGUGGAGCGGUGAAAUGCGUUGAUAUCGGAAGGAACGCCGGUGGCGAAAGCGACGGACUGGAUCUCUUCUGACGCUGAGGCGCGAAAGCCAGGGGAGCAAACGGG
rnacentral:rRNA from 1 species